rnacentral:rRNA from 1 species
CCCGCUGAACUUAAGCAUAUCAGUAAGCGGAGGAAAAGAAACUAACAAGGAUUCCCUUAGUAGCGGCGAGUGAAGUGGGAAGAGCUCAAAUUUAAAAUCUGGGAUUUAUCCCCGAAUUGUAAUUUAAAGAGGCUUGUUCGGGACAGACCCGGGGGACAAGUCCCUUGGAAUAGGGCAUCAAAGAGGGUGAGAAUCCCGUUUGGCCAUCGGUGUCUGUUCCACCAUGUCAUGUCCUCAAAGAGUCGGGUUGUUUGGGAAUGCAGCCCAAAGUGGGUGGUAAAUUUCAUCAAAGGCUAAAUAUGGGCGAGAGACCGAUAGCGAACAAGUACCGUGAGGGAAAGAUGAAAAGAACUUUGAAAAGAGAGUUAAGUAGUGCGUGAAAUUGUUAAAAGGGAAACGAUAGAGACUAGGUGAUGUUGGGGGUGUGAGGGUGGAUAUGCUUGCUAGACUGGUCAAGUUAGUUGGAUUAAUAUCUAGCUAGCUUGGUUCAGGCAACAGCGAGUCAACCGUUCCCUCCCCCCCAACAGUCAGCAUCAGUUGGACUUUGUGUAUACGAGUUAGAGGAAGGUGACGCUCACCUUGGUGGGUCGUUUUAUAGACUCUAGACUUUCCACACCAAGUCUGACUGAGGAUCGCGGAUGGGGCAACAAGCUAGUCUACUCUGGCUCUUGUGUUCAGAUGCGCUAUUUAAUAGUUCUCUGACACUGGGGCUUGCUUGGACUGGUGGGCUCUGUCUUAGGAUGCUGACGGAAUGGUCUUUAACGACCCGUCUUGAAACACGG